UACAGAGGUGGCAAGCGUUGUUCGGAAUUACUGGGCGUAAAGGGCGCGUAGGCGGUCUUGUAAGUCUUGUGUGAAAUCCCUCGGCUUAACUGAGGAACUGCACGGGAUACUGCGAGACUUGAGAUCGGGGAGAGGGAAGCGGAAUCCGGGUGGUAGCGUGAAAUGACGUAGAUAUCCGGGAGGAACACCGGUGGCGAAGGCGGCUUCC
rnacentral:rRNA from 1 species